rnacentral:lncRNA from 1 species
UUCUUCACACACGAGUUCGCGGGAGAGCAGGCGAGUUUCCUUCGGCCAACGGACUCCCUCUUUCACUCACAGCCGCUGCUCGACUUCCCUGCUGCCAUACUUGAACAAGUUUCAGUUCAUUUGAGACUUCAUUAACAGGAGAGAAAGAGCUGCCCAACUUCCGCCAAAUCCUCAAGGUAAGCUUCGGCUUGAACGUUUCCACCUCCUUCCAUAACCUCCACCUGCAUUUUAAAGCAAUAACACCUUCAUCGUAUUUCAGUUAUUCCCCAUCUCAAUCCAACAACACCAGACAGCCAACAAAGCAAAACACUCAAGGUAUUAUUACUAUUUCAUACUCAAUUUAGCCGCACUCACAUGGAGUACAUGGUCAGUUAAGAAACACCAUAAAUAGGAGAAUAAGCAUGAUAGACAAGCAAUACCAAUGUAUAGUAUGAGGAUGUGCAUAAGUCAGUUUACUUCCAUCAAGAACCAACAACAGCCUAUGACCUUUAUACAAGCUAAAUGCAGUAAGGAUUUCCUUGAUACAACAGCAAGUUCAGUGCGUAGUGCAAUUUAUUGCAUAACCCUUAUAUGAAAACCAAGACUUCACGGUAGAGCUAUAGAUUGCCUUAGCUUUUAGAGAGGGCGGGGGCUACUGCCCUGUUUGUUCGGGCCGAAGAACGU